rnacentral:rRNA from 1 species
CCCUUAGAUGUUCUGGGCCGCACGCGCGCUACACUGACUACUUCAACGAGUUGUUUCCUUGAUCGAAAGGUCUGGGUAAUCUUUGAAAGGUAGUCGUGAUGGGGAUAAAUCCUUGCAAUUUUUGAUCUUCAACGAGGAAUUCCUAGUAAACGCAAGUCAUCAGCUUACAUUGAUUACGUCCCUGCCCUUUGUACACACCGCCCGUCGCACCUACCGAUUGAAUGGUCCGGUGAAUCUUUAGGACUGUGGCUGAGGCCUUGCCUUGUGCGGGUCUGGCCGUGGGAAUUUAGUUAAACCUUACCAUUUAGAGGAAGGUGAAGUCGUAACA